GUAGAAUGAACUUUGUGGGGAAUAAAUACAUAAAUUCCAUUUUUCAUCAUCUGUUUUUAAUAAUUAUCAUUGUCUGCCUAUACUUGUUUUUAUCGUUUCCACCUUCUUCCUUUUCUUUCUGCUAGAUUUUUUGGGAGGGAAGUUUUGUUUUGUUUCCUCUUCCCUGGUUUGUGGGUCCUCAACCAGGUACUAAAUCCACGGCAAUGAAAGAGCUGAGGGAAACUAGAAACUCUCUCUAGCAAGAGAGUUUUUAAAGCAAGUCUCAAAUAUUCUAUUCUUUCAAACUUAAGUCUUUAUCAUAGCAUAGAUUUUUUAAAUUGAAAAUUCAGAUCUUUAAAUAUUUUAAGAAUUUCAUGUUGGUGGGGAAAAAAUUAAACUUUUAAGCAU
rnacentral:lncRNA from 1 species